rnacentral:lncRNA from 1 species
UAUGUCUAUGGAUAGCCCCCCUGGCUACCCCCUCACACUCCUUCCUACAGUGACUGUAUUCCCCCCUCUACCCUGCCCUGACUGCCACACACCUCCCUCCAGCCACUGAACAUUUGCACUAAAAUUGUUCAUUUGUAUAUAUCUAUUUAUUUAAAAUUGUUGUCCAUAUCCAUAUUCAUUGUAUUUAUAUCUUAUCAUGUCUCCUACCUCAUUUAUAACUUUAUAACUUCUACUGCCACCUUCACCUGCACUUUAUCUAUAUCACAUUUGCACUAAUCACCAUUAUUGCUGCUCAUGUUCUUACUGUUCAUACCACGUAUAUCUUAUAUCAUACUGUAUAUAUCCUAUUUAUCUAUUUUUAUAUUACCACUAUACAUAUGCACAUACUGUGCACUCUUCUACUUUGCACUUCUGGUUAGACGCUAAUAGCAUUUUGUUGCCUCAGUACUUGUACUCUGUGCAAUGACAAUAAAGUUGAAUCUAAUCUAAUUUCAUUCCAAUUAUUAUUAUUGUUAUCGUUUUUGUUGUUGUACAAAGUCUUUCUUUUAAACGAGCGUGAACUACACCGAAACAAUUACUUUUGAUGUCAUUUCCGUUUCCCAGUUCCAGCUCCUCCAACGGAAAGGGUAAGAUAUUCUGAAAGCAAACUGAUUUUUAGAGGGUUACAAGUCAGACGUAGAGGUUUCUGACGAUAGCUAAAGUGAAAUGUGAAUGAGUCGGUCAAGUUGCUGUCGAUUAAGAAGCUGAACGCCACAGCGUUGAGCUUACGGGGCUAUUUGUAGCUCGUAUCAGAUAGCUUCACCUCUCUCGACUUGUAUAAACGUGGCCCAAAGAGAGCCCAUAUCUGAAGCUGAGACAUGGUGAGACCCCGCUCUGGAUCCCCGAGGGUGAAACACAGCCCAAUCCCACUGGAUCAUCAGCACCUGUCACGUGAUCUGGUGGUGGUAUCGCAGUGGGAGGCUGGAUCGCCUGAGAAUGAUGAUGGGGAUUGUGAUGACGACCACGGCAUGGAGGACCAGGAAGAUGUUGUUAAAGAGACGUCGGUUUUCCAUAGCAACCGCAUUACUGGUCCACAGGAGCCGCAGGAACCUAAGGCAACCGCUUCAUCGCCGCAAGAACAGAACAACCAGAACAAGAGGCUUGUCAGACGACCGCUCAUGAGCCUGAAGACCGUUAGACCUCUGAAGAAGUUUGGACAGAUGGCUGUUGUGGCCACAAAGCGCAGCCAGAGCAUCGUCUCCAAGUACCGCCUCAUGCGUCAAAAAGCUCCGCCCACGCCCGCUCGUAUCAGCCAACCCCAGCAGAGCACGAGCCACCGACGCUGGUGAUCUCUCUAAAGGUAGCCCGAUGCGCCUCAGAAGAGAUUCUUCCUGCUUGGAUACGCACUUUCAGCGCUGGGGAGAUUUGAAAACUACCCAUUUAAUAAUCUUUUUUUUUUUUAAACUCUAAAUUAAUAAAACCUCUACGCAUUUCUCA